rnacentral:misc_RNA from 1 species
GAGCGUCAUUUAAACCAAUCCAGCCUCGCGCUUGGGUCUUGGGCCUUUCGCCUCUGGGCGGGCCUCAAAAUCAGUGGCGGUGCCUUCUGGCUCUAAGCGUAGUAAUACUCCUCGCUAUAGACGUCAGGCGGUGUCUUGCCAGUAACCCCUAAUUUUCAAAGGUUGACCUCGGAUCAGGUAGGGAUACCCGCUGAACUUAA